AUACAUGGUUACCGCAUAAUUUAUUCUUUUGACCCUGAAUGCUCUAGGAUGGUCUCAAGUUAACUGUCAACCAAGAUUGCUUCAUCUAUAUUGUAUAUUUCAACAUUUCAAAUCCAUCUCAUGGAUUAUCUUGAUCAAGGCUUUGCUAAAUUGAAAUACAAUGAUGCAUCAACUCUAAUAAUUCGAAGGGGUCAAUCUUAUCUUAAUCC
rnacentral:lncRNA from 1 species